AUGAAUUUCAUCGGAUCCUGAUUAUUCUAAAAAAAGUGUGAGGAUGGAGCUAUUGAAGGCUGGGUAGGCAAGCAGGGUCCUCAUGGGGCUGAAUGCGUCUUCGAUGGACAGAGUAGGGAAGUCAGAGGCUAGAACAGGGAGACAGACGACGACACGGGAGGCGAGGUCGAUGGAAGGAUGUAAGAGUUGCCGUGGAAGCGGAUGGUGAAGAAGAACAGAAGGAUAAGAAAAAAUUAGGGACGAUGGCGGAUCAGACGGUGAUGGGAAACAAUUUCGAGAAGAAGGCGGAGAAGAAGCUCAAUGGAUGGGGUCCCGCCGCAACCCCACCUUGCUCCUAUCGAACCCAUCUUGAGAAAGCAGGGGAGGUCGAGGAAGUACGAUGCGUCACCCUUUCUUCCUCCUCCCUCUCUCGCAUCUCCUAUCAAGGAGCCUUCCGCAUCGGUUGAGCUACCAUUGUCACCG
rnacentral:lncRNA from 1 species